rnacentral:rRNA from 1 species
GAUGAACGCUGGCGGCGUGCUUAACACAUGCAAGUCGAACGAAGCACUUUAUUUGAUUUCCUUCGGGACUGAUUAUUUUGUGACUGAGUGGCGGACGGGUGAGUAACGCGUGGGUAACCUGCCUUGUACAGGGGGAUAACAGUUGGAAACGGCUGCUAAUACCGCAUAAGCGCCCAGCAUCGCAUGAUGCAGUGUGAAAACCUCCGGUGGUAUAAGAUGGACCCGCGUUGGAUUAGCUAGUUGGUGAGGUAACGGCCCACCAAGGCGACGAUCCAUAGCCGAGCUGAGAGGGUGACCGGCCACAUUGGGACUGAGACACGGCCCAAACUCCUACGGGAGGGAGCAGUGGGGAAUAUUGCACAAUGGGCGAAAGCCUGAUGCAGCGACGCCGCGUGAGCGAAGAAGUAUUUGGGUAUGUAAAGCUCUAUCAGCAGGGAAGAUAAUGACGGUACCUGACUAAGAAGCACCGGCUAAAUACGUG